rnacentral:tRNA from 1 species
GUUGGUGUGGCAGAGCCCGGUAAUUGCAGAAGACCUAAGAUCUUUUCUACAGAGGUUCAACUCCUCUUACUAACU